AAUCACCUACGGGGCGCAGCAGUGAGGAAUAUUGGUCAAUGGACGCAAGUCUGAACCAGCCACGUAGCGUGCAGGAUGACGGCCCUCCGGGUUUUAAACUGCUUUUAGUUGGGAAUAAAAGGGGGCUCGUGAGUCCCGUAUUGUAUGUACCAUCAGAAAAAGGACCGGCUAAUUCCGUGCCAGCAGCCGCGGUAAUACGGAAGGUCCGGGCGUUAUCCGGAUUUAUUGGGUUUAAAGGGAGCGUAGGCCGGCUUUUAAGUCAGCUGUGAAAGUCCGAGGCUCGACCGGGGAAUUGCAGUUGAAAG
rnacentral:rRNA from 1 species